CAAAUUAAAGCUUUAGAGAAGCGUUUUAUUUACAUUAAAGAGAUUAUUUAAUAGAUGUGAUUUGA
rnacentral:tRNA from 1 species